rnacentral:rRNA from 1 species
CAGCAGCCACGGUAAUACGAAGGGUGCAAGCGUUAAUUGGAAUUACUGGGCGUAAAGCGUGCGUAGGCGGUUUGUUAAGUCUGUUGUGAAAUCCCCGGGCUCAACCUGGGAAUGGCAAUGGAUACUGGCAAGCUAGAGUGUGUCAGAGGAUGGUGGAAUUCCCGGUGUAGCGGUGAAAUGCGUAGAGAUCGGGAGGAUCAUCAGUGGCGAAGGCGGCCACCUGGGACAACACUGACGCUGAGGCACGAAAGCGUGGGGAGCAAACAGGAUUAGAUACCCGAGUAGUCCCUGUCUCUUAUAC